GAUGAACGCUGGCGGCGUGCCUAAUACAUGCAAGUCGAGCGAACAGAUGAUGAGCUUGCUCCUCUGACGUUAGCGGCGGACGGGCGAGUAACACGUGGAUAACCUACUUAUAAUACUGGGAUAACUUCGGGAAACCGGAGCUAAUACCGGAUAAUAUAUUGAACCGCAUGGUUCAAUAGUGAAAGACGGUUUUGCUGUCACUUAUAGAUGGAUCCGCGUCGCAUUAGCUAGUUGGUAAGGUAACGGCUUACCAAGGCAACGAUGCGUAGCCGACCUGAGAGGGUGAUCGGCCACACUGGAACUGAGACACGGUCCAGACUCCUACGGGAGGCAGCAGUAGGGAAUCUUCCGCAAUGGGCGAAAGCCUGUCGGAGCAACGCCGCGUGAGUGAUGAAGGUCUUCGGAUCGUAAAACUCUGUUAUUAGGGAAGAAAAAAUGUGUAAGUAACUAUGCACGUCUUGACGGUACCUAAACAGAAAGCCACGGCUAACUUCGUG
rnacentral:rRNA from 1 species